AUGGUGCCCGGACUGGGGCCGUGGCUGCUGGCCUUGGCCUUGGAGUUGGGGCCGGCAGGGGUGUGGGCGCAGUUCAGGCUGGAGGAGACCGGCGGAGGGCUGCGAGCGCCCGGGGACUCCGUGCUCCUCUCCUGCCGCGGAUCCGGCUUGAAUUUCGGGACUUACACCGUUCGGUGGUACCGUCAGGCACCCGGAGGCACACUCGAGUGGGUGUCCUUCAUCGGUACCUCCUCGAUUUUCACGGAUUACGCAGCAGCGGUGAAAGGUCGAGCCACCGUCUCCCGGGACAAUUCCCGGUCUGAGGCAUAUCUGUCCCUGCGUGCCCUGCAGCCUCAGGACUCUGCCCGCUACUUCUGCGCCGUUUACACGGAGACAGGAAAUCCAGCUGAGCUUUUACACAAAGCUGCUGCGCCCGCCCAGGGUGCAAAAUCUGUGGGGCGAGAAAGGCAAUUGUUUCCCCACGAAAAGAGAGCAAGAAUGAGAGGAGCAGAAAAAAGCAGAGCAAAAACUAAAUCCACCUUGUCCUCACUCAUCCUCCCUUCUUCCCAGACUUAGCUUCGCUCCUGACUUAUCUACCUCAUCUCUCCAGGUGGCACAGGGACAAUGGGUUGUGGGGCAGGUGUUCGGCCAUUUCCAGGAAAGCCGGCCUUCCUCGCACCUGUGGGCGAAGACAAAAGCCGUAACUCCAAACGUCCAGGGCCGGGAGCCUCCGCCUGCCGGGGCGCCGCGCUCCUCCUGUGCCCCGCGGCCC